ACUGGCUGCUCGCUUUCAGGCAUCAUCAAAGGGCACUUAGUCAUGUAUGUCAACAGAUAGACCACUCAAAAUUUUCUAGAAUAUUUCAGUUCCUCAACUGGAUAUUUUAAGUAACAAGGGGAUUUCCAUUACUUUAUCAUCUACGUUUUCUUUAACUACUCUAUGUGCCUUUAACACCAUCCAAGUAAUUUAAUGAAGGAAAGGUGGUAGGGAUUUCAUCAUCCCUUCAGUGCAGCUGUAGUAGUCAAUACUGAAUGGAGAAACAUACUGGAUUCCCCAAAACAUUACUUUGGAUUCUUUGGAGAUCAUCUGGUUUCUGCAGUAAGCUCAGUGCUGUUUUCAUCAGAUAGGAACCACAAAUCUAAUGGAAUAUGGGGCGUGUCCUGCUGAAAGUCCACAGCAACCAACAAAGAGUAGGAAGCCUGCACUGGAAGGAAACGUCUUGUAUGUCCGGUCUUGUCCCUCCCAUCUUCGUGAAGGAGAUCAAAAUUUUGAGAUGCAAAAUUUGACCUACUUCUGUUCUGAUUGACCUGAAAAAGCUUUUACAUACGCAAAGCAGACUAUUUUCUUCCAGAAAAUCAAUCCCUGGAUAAGUUCCCAAAUAUAAGCAAAGAGAUUCCUGAAAUUAUAACAUAAAUAUUGACAGAACAGAAAUAAUCUGGAGAGAAAAGGGGUCAGACGGGUCCACAUUCAAAGGUCAGUCUUACUUUUAAUAAUCUUAAACUAUAUCACUCCCCAAAAAGGCACAAUGGGUGUUGAUUAGAGUAGAGAACUGAAAAUUCAGUUCCAGGUUCUACACUUGAUCAGUGGGGAAAGCGGCCUUUCCUCUUCAAUGUUUUUUAGACCGAAGGCUACCCUAUUUCAGUGCUGACAUGAACUACAGCAGAAAUUGGGACAAGUCAGAAAUAUGUCUAAUAAAAGACACAAAAGACCUGGAACA
rnacentral:lncRNA from 1 species